CUGCUGGCGGCCAAUCAGAAGGCCUCUCUCAUCCCCUCCAGGGAUAUCUUCGCCAAUCAGGGCGCGCUUUUCAUCGCGGCGCUCCGCCCCCGCAGUGGGGGUGUGGGCGCCGCCAGCAGUGCCCCCUGCUGUGGGGGUGCGCCCCCUGGUGGCCGGAAGGGGCACGGCGGUGACACCUCCGACAUCCCUCACUCCGACUUUCCCUGGCCAGCACCUAUAGAAGAUAACUAAGAUUCAUCUAGAGAUGACAUCCAGAGGGCAUUCAAAAAUAGAGGUCAGCAGCCUUCCCAAUUGACAAAGAAUUGGUAAAUGGGUCUGUCAUCCAGCUGUAUUUUCAGCAGCUUCUCUACCACAGCUGUGGGACUCAGCUUAUUUAAGUUGUAAUGGUUUGAUUGCCUUGAUUCAUGAACAACUCAUUCUGCCAUCUUCAGAGGUUAAACAUCGCUUCAGUCUUCCCAGGUGGACUAGAAGAGAUAAAGGAGACAGGAUGCCAUUGCAGGAAGAUAUGUCUCACCGAGCAAGAGGAUGAGAGUUGACUAAAUAUUUUCUGCAAAGCAGCCUCUCCUUCCUCUCUCCCCACUGUGUCUUCACUGUGCCUUUACUUGUAGACCUCUAGACCAUCAAUCUUUUGAGUUCUCUGUGUCACGUUCAAUGUUUGUGUUCAGUUGGAGAAGCAUCAGGCAUUGCUCUGCCUUGAGAUCCUGCCAGUGCUCAAAGCCUUGGUUCCAUCUGGAAAGAGAAAAUGAGCAGCAUAAAUUCCCAGUUUGUGUAUUAGCUAAAAAGGUGGUUAGUCUCUGCUAUUUCUGUAUUUGGGAUCCUCAGUCUGAAUGUGGGCUCAUUACUCUAUUGAAUUAUAUAUCAGAAGUAAUUUCUUUUCCUGGGAAGUGAAUCCUACAUAUGUGCAAGUCUAUUCCAAAAGGGAUUCCUUGUGUCUCUCAGAUAUUGCUUUUGCCUUGGAUAGUCUUCAGAAGAACAAAUUUUCCGAUUAAGUUCACCUUUGGUUUUGCCCCUCAUCUAGAAAUAAGAGGUCAUAGAUUUAGCACAUUUUCUGGAUGCUGAGAUUCAUAUGCAGAGUGUUGAAAGAGCAGCAGCUUUCUUUAGCGGCCACUCUCUUGUGCUGCCCUUAAGCAUCCUGGAUUGAUGCAUUUUUCAUUUUCCAAUGCAAGUGAACCUUUCUGUGCUGAUGCUUCAGCAAAGCUGUAGUAUCUCCAAACCUAACAGAUGGGUUAUUCUUAGGUUUUCAGUUAGAGGAGUAUUAAUGCCAGGCUUGUUUCCUUAACAGUCUGUUACAUGCUGUAGGCAAGGAUUGUGCUGUUUGAGGUGAAUACUGCACAAACUGCUGUGUGAUCUGCCCACUUCAGACAUCUCAGUGGAAGCCAGAUGAAUGACACUGUUUCAGGCAUGGACCAGAGCAGUGGGAAAAUGGCCAGCAAGAGUAAGGGUUUAUUGGUAUAAUGAAGGGUAGAUUUUCUCCCUUCCCUGCCAAUCCCUUUUAAAGAAGUCUCUGAGCAGAAACAAAGGCUUGCUGUCCACCACCAUUUACUGUGUCACUUCUUUUCACAGAUUUCUGUGCUGUUUUUCUCAUGUCUGCAGUUAUUCCAUUUAUCCCUGUUUUUAUGGUAUGACCCCACUUGCAAUGCGUCUGUUCUUAUUCUCCAUCCUUUCAUUCUUCUAAACUUCAGCGUAUUCCCCUAGAAAUCACAUUUUUGUUUUUAAGCUCCUGUCUGCCUCUCAAGGUUUCUGCAUUUUUUGUUACCAUCUUUCUAUGGAGCAUUUUUUGUUCUCGCUGUAUAUCUUAAGCCUAGUUUCUUCAUCAGUUUCUUUCAUCUCACUGCUGCUGGACUUCCUACAUCUUGUCCCCAGAGUGUCAUUUUGAGUCACAAAUGGAAGGCUGAGCUGCAAGGCUGCAGUAACCCUGGACUUCCACCCAGAAGUGUUGUAGCCAAAUACAGAUGUCCAAUUCCAGACCAGCUUGGCAACCUUCUGAUGUUAUUUAUGAGUCUGGAGAAAUACUUUGUCCCACAGGCACUUAAAUAGCUGGAUGUUGGAUCAAGUUUGAGUUGCCUAAUAACAGUUUUGCAUUGCUUCCUGCCCCUUCACAGCCUUGAUGAUAGGUAAAGGUCUUGCCUGAAGGGCAGGAUGGCUCCAGAUGAGUUGGGGCAGUAGGUGGGCAUCAUUUGUGCACUAUAUUUCCUAGUAGCACUGCUUAGUACUUCUUAUAUUGAAUUGUGUUCAGCAGUAGUAAUUUUGGAGUAUGAUUAUAAUACUCCAGUAGUAAGCAAUAGGGAGUUCUUUACUUAAUCCCACCACAUUCUUUAGUUGUUUCUAAUGUCAGUUUGCAUUCUGCCUCCUAAAACACAGAUUGACUCAAUUCUACCUCUGCAAGCUCUACCUUGCACAUACCUGUCACACAGAACUAGUACGAAUUAUGCAAUCCCCCCUUUAAAUCUUCAAUCAAGUUUAGCCGUGUAGGAUUACAAUUCACUGGCUAGACUAAUUUUACACUUUAAUUUCAGGAAUUUAAGAGAAUGGUGGGAAUCUUCAAAGAAGAUUUCCUCACUUCUCCUGAACUCAUUCUCCGGGUAUUGAAAGGAUCUCAAUGCAUCAGUUUGCUAAAGUUGCUGCUUUAAUGAGAGACUUUAAUGGUACCAGGUAGUGAACUGAGCAGUGAUGGCCUUGCUCUUGAAGAAGAAUAUCCUGUGUUGCAGCCUCGCCGCAGGACUUCAGCUCUAAGACCCUGGUAUAUCUACAGUGCAGGACUAGGAGCAGGUGAGAAUGCAGCUAAGGUUGUACCUCAUACUUACCAGAGAGACUUCUCCAAGAGUCACCAGAUUUAAAGUUUUUCAGAAAAACAAGGAUCACACUGAUGGAGUCAGUGCUGUGAACAUAAAUUCUCACCAAGCACCAUGUAAAUAUUAAAAGUAAAUUAAUUUUUGUAGCACUUUAAAUACUAUAUUAAUUCAACCUUGAAUGAAGUCCUAUCCCAAAGAUUUAUAAAGAACUUGUACAUUUUGGACUGGGGAAGAGAAAAAAAAAUCCCUCCUUUUUAAGUAAAGAGAAAAGCCUAACUCAGAA